ACGCUGGCGGCAGGCCUAACACAUGCAAGUCGAGCGGCAGCCGGGUACUUGUACCUGGUGGCGAGCGGCGGACGGGUGAGUAAUGCCUAGGAAUCUGCCUGGUAGUGGGGGAUAACGUUCGGAAACGGACGCUAAUACCGCAUACGUCCUACGGGAGAAAGUGGGGGAUCUUCGGACCUCACGCUAUCAGAUGAGCCUAGGUCGGAUUAGCUAGUUGGUGAGGUAAUGGCUCACCAAGGCGACGAUCCGUAACUGGUCUGAGAGGAUGAUCAGUCACACUGGAACUGAGACACGGUCCAGACUCCUACGGGAGGCAGCAGUGGGGAAUAUUGGACAAUGGGCGAAAGCCUGAUCCAGCCAUGCCGCGUGUGUGAAGAAGGUCUUCGGAUUGUAAAGCACUUUAAGUUGGGAGGAAGGGCAGUAAAUUAAUACUUUGCUGUUUUGACGUUACCGACAGAAUAAGCACCGGCUAACUCUGUGCCAGCAGCCGCGGUAAUACAGAGGGUGCAAGCGUUAAUCGGAAUUACUGGGCGUAAAGCGCGCGUAGGUGGUUUGUUAAGUUGAAUGUGAAAUCCCCGGGCUCAACCUGGGAACUGCAUCCAAAACUGGCAAGCUAGAGUAUGGUAGAGGGUGGUGGAAUUUCCUGUGUAGCGGUGAAAUGCGUAGAUAUAGGAAGGAACACCAGUGGCGAAGGCGACCACCUGGACUGAUACUGACACUGAGGUGCGAAAGCGUGGGGAGCAAAC
rnacentral:rRNA from 1 species